CCGGCACGGGUGAGUAACACGUAUCCAACCUGCCGUCUACUCUUGGACAGCCUUCUGAAAGGAAGAUUAAUACAAGAUGGCAGCAUGAGUCCGCAUGUUCACAUGAUUAAAGGUAUUCCGGUAGACGAUGGGGAUGCGUUCCAUUAGAUAGUAGGCGGGGUAACGGCCCACCUAGUCUUCGAUGGAUAGGGGUUCUGAGAGGAAGGUCCCCCACAUUGGAACUGAGACACGGUCCAA
rnacentral:rRNA from 1 species